GCAGUCAAGAGAGCUCACUUCUGCCUCAGCCUCUUUGCUACUUAGUUUCUAGAAAAGAAGGUGCGUUAGUGUGCAGGCAAUAGGGUAGUUCUAAACAGAAGAGCAAGCUGGAGGGGCUGGGGACUGUGGCUCAGUGGGAGAACAUCUCAGUGCCUAGGAUGACUGAGACCCUGAAUUCGGUCCUCAGCAUGACAGUAAACAACAACAAACAAACGAAGAGCCCAGAGCCUCUUGUCAGGUAAUGCUGACAUUAUCCCGAUUCAGAUCCCUCAGGCCAAACAAUAACAUCCCGUCUUUAUUUGUAUUGUUUGUAUUUUUCCUUAACAUUUUGUACAUUUUUCUCAUUAUUUAUGACAAUCUUAUUACUUACAUUACCAUCUCAUGUUCUUUUAUUAAUGACAUUGGCCUCACAUGUUCUUCUGUAAAACAAUUUUCUAGCUCUGAGAGUCAUUUUAAAACAUAUUUUUAGAUUUAUGUAAUGACUUUUUUAAAAAAAUCAAUAUACUAGAAUUUAGGUGGUGUUCUGGUCGGCUCUGAAAUGCCCUCAGGCUCUCUUGCUUGAAUACCUGGCUCCCUACUGGUGGCAUUUGGGGCCUUGUAGAAGCUCUGUGUCAGGAAGCAUGGCUGGUGGAAGCGGGUCACUGCAGGUUGGUCUUUGAGGGGUCUAGGACAGCCCUCCACCCAAGCCUCUCUGCUUCCUGGUCUACAAGGACGUGAGGAGGGUCCACCAGGAGCUCCUGCCUCUGUGACCACUACCAUACUGUUUUUACUGCGAUGGUUUGAAACUGUGAGCCAAAAUAAAUCUUUCUUUCCUUAAGUUGAGGCUUCCCCGCCCCCCUACAGUGACAAGAAAAAUGAUUAGCACAGGAGGAUUAAAGAUUAGAAGUGACUUUCAGAUGUACAUUCCUGCAAUAAUAUCCUAGGUAUUUUUGGUCAAGCGAAAAAGAAAAAAAAAAAUCAAUAGGUGUUUUGCAUGCAAGAAUGUCUGUGCAUCCGCUGGUGCCCGUGGAGAUCUGAAGAGGGCCUCGAUUCCCUGAAAAUGGAGUUACAGAUGGUUCUGAGCUUCCACGUAGAUGUUGGGAAUCAAACCCAGGUUCCCUGGAAGAGCAAGGGCUCUUAACUGCUGAGUGAUGCAUCUCUCCAACCCCUCCAGAUGCUAUGUUAUCGCAUAUGCUCUUCUAUAAUGUUAUGUUGAUACUCUUCCCUUACA